GACGAACGCUGGCGGCGUGCUUAACACAUGCAAGUCGAACGGAAAGGCCCUGCUUUUGUGGGGUGCUCGAGUGGCGAACGGGUGAGUAACACGUGAGUAACCUGCCCUUGACUUUGGGAUAACUUCAGGAAACUGGGGCUAAUACCGGAUAGGAGCUCCUGCUGCAUGGUGGGGGUUGGAAAGUUUCGGCGGUUGGGGAUGGACUCGCGGCUUAUCAGCUUGUUGGUGGGGUAGUGGUCUACCAAGGCUUUGACGGGUAGCCGGCCUGAGAGGGUGACCGGCCACAUUGGGACUGAGAUACGGCCCAGACUCCUACGGGAGGCAGCAGUGGGGAAUAUUGCACAAUGGGCGGAAGCCUGAUGCAGCAACGCCGCGUGCGGGAUGACGGCCUUCGGGUUGUAAACCGCUUUCGCCUGUGACGAAGCGUGAGUGACGGUAAUGGGUAAAGAAGCACCGGCUAACUACGUG
rnacentral:rRNA from 1 species